CCCAGAGCCCCAACAGCUCCCAGCCCCCGUCUACAAGAGCUUUACAAGGGAAGAACAGACCGUGCCUGCCUUGCUGUGUGCUUGGAUCCUGGCACCUUGCACACUCCCUGGCUCUGAAUCUAUGUUAAACGUUUGCUGAAUGAACACAUGAACAGCCUGAGCCGGCCCCCUCCCUGAGACCAGCAAGGCAGCCUCUCUUCUGGUGGCUGCUGGGGAAGAGGACUCUGAUUGCUAGGUGGCACGUUCCAGAGCCAUAGCCUCUGUUCUAUUCAUCUCCAGUCUCCUGGGGUGGAAGUGUCCAGCACAGAGACUGCCACACUGCAAGACGAAGGGGCUGGACACACGGAAGAGAGAGGCGGAACCCUGCACCCCCUCAACCUCAGCCCUACUGAGUCUCCAAUGGGGCCACGCUUCUGAGUGCACCUCCCCGUGUCAUCUGUAAUGUGAGGGGGAACCAGGCUUGAUAUGGCAUUCCCAAUCCAGGGCCUCUGGACCCCUUGAGAUGCAUAAA
rnacentral:lncRNA from 10 species